CAAUGACGUCACUAAUGACUGGAAGUAUUUCUACGUUGUUUCGUUAACGUUACCCAGGAUGAUUGGUUUGACCUCUUGCCCUGGGCAGAAUUUGCUCGGAACAAAGCUACGCAUGACUCUUCCAAACUUAGUCCUUUUUAUGUUGUAUAUGGUCUCCACCCUGCUGUCUUACCUUCUGUGUUCUCUGAUACAGAUAUCCUCACUCUGGAUGAGCAUCUGACC